GGAAAUGUAGCCUAGUGGUAGAGUGCUUGCCUUGCAUGCAUGAAGCCCUGGGUUUGAUUCCUCAGUACCA
rnacentral:tRNA from 1 species